GCUGGGCAUGGUGGUGCGUGCCUGUAAUCCCAGCUACUCAGGAGGCUGAGGCAGGAGAAUUGCCUGAACCAAGGAGGCGGAGGUUGCGGUGAGCCGAGAUCGCGCCAUUGCACUCCAGCCUGGGUAAGAAGAGCGAAACUCCGUCUCAAAAGAAAAAAAAAGAACAUAAAGGGUGGGUUUUUUUUGAGACGGAGCCUUGCUCUGUCACCCAGGCUGGAGUACACUGGUGCAAUCUCAGCUUAUUGCAACCUCUGCCUCCUGGGUUUAAGCGAUUCUCCUGCCUCAG
rnacentral:sRNA from 1 species